AGAGUUUGAUCCUGGCUCAGGACGAACGCUGGCGGCGUGCUUAACACAUGCAAGUCGAACGAGAGGACAAGAGAAGCUUGCUUCUUUUGGAAUCGAGUGGCAAACGGGUGAGUAACACGUAAACAACCUGCCUUCAGGAUGGGGACAACAGACGGAAACGACUGCUAAUACCGAAUACGCUUGGAAGACCGCAUGAUUUUCCAAGGAAAGGGUGGCCUCUACCUGUAAGCUAUCGCCUGAAGAGGGGUUUGCGUCUGAUUAGGCAGUUGGUGAGGUAACGGCCCACCAAACCUACGAUCAGUAGCCGGUCUGAGAGGAUGAACGGCCACACUGGAACUGAGACACGGUCCCAGACUNCCUACGGGGAGGCAGCAGUGGGGGAANUCUUCCGCANUGGGGCNCNAGNCCUGACGGAANCAACGCCNCCGUGAGUGAANAANGGNUUNNANUCGUAANNUCNNUUGUCNGGGA
rnacentral:rRNA from 1 species